rnacentral:rRNA from 1 species
UACGUAGGGCGCAAGCGUUGUCCGGAAUUAUUGGGCGUAAAGAGCUCGUAGGCGGCUUGUCACGUCGGAUGUGAAAGCCCGAGGCUUAACCCCGGGCCUGCAGUGGGUACGGGCAGACUAGAGUGCGGUAGGGGAGACUGGAAUUCCUGGUGUAGCGGUGGAAUGCGCAGAUAUCAGGAGGAACACCGAUGGCGAAGGCAGGUCACUGGGCCGCAACUGACGCUGAGGAGCGAAAGCAUGGGGAGCGAACAGG